rnacentral:rRNA from 1 species
GCCAAAGGCCAUACUACCUGCAGUUCAGACUUACUAACUCAUCUGAAGCUAAGCAGGUUUGGGCCUGGCUCAUACUUGGAUGGGAGACCAUCUAGGAAAGCUGGGCUGUUGUUGGAA